AACGAACGCUGGCGGCAGGCUUAACACAUGCAAGUCGAACGCCCCGCAAGGGGAGUGGCGCACGGGUGAGUAAUACAUGGGAACGUGCCUUUCAGUCUGGAAUAACGUCGGGAAACUGACGCUAAAACCGGAUAUUCUCCGAGGAGGAAAGUUUACGCUGAAAGAUCGGCCCAUGCCAGAUUAGCUAGUUGGUGAGGUAAAGGCUUACCAAGGCGACGAUCUGUAGCUGGUCUGAGAGGACGACCAGCCACACUGGAACUGAGACACGGUCCAGACUCCUACGGGAGGCAGCAGUGGGGAAUAUUGGACAAUGGGCGAAAGCCUGAUCCAGCCAUGCCGCGUGAGUGAUGAAGGCCUUAGGGUUGUAAAGCUCUUUUGUGAGGGAAGAUGAUGACGGUACCUCAAGAAUAAGCACCGGCUAACUUCGUGCCAGCAGCCGCGGUAA
rnacentral:rRNA from 1 species